ACCGGCGGCUCGAGUGGUGGCCACUAUUACUGGGCUUAAAGCGUUCGUAGCUGGCUUGUUAAGUCUCUGGGGAAAUCUUCCGGCUCAACCGGAAGGCGUCUCAGGGAUACUGGCAGGCUAGGGACCGGAAGAGGUGAGAGGUACUCCAGGGGUAGGAGUGAAAUCCUGUAAUCCUUGGGGGACCACCUGUGGCGAAGGCGUCUCACCAGGACGGCUCCGACAGUGAGGAACGAAAGCUGGGGGAGCAAACCG
rnacentral:rRNA from 2 species